AGUGUAUUGGUAGCUUAAAGCCAAGGGCGGUAGCGUG
rnacentral:ncRNA from 1 species